rnacentral:rRNA from 1 species
AUUGAACGCUGGCGGCAUGCUUUACACAUGCAAGUCGAACGGCAGCGCGGGCCUCGGCCUGGCGGCGAGCGGCGAACGGGUGAGUAAUACAUCGGAACGUGCCCAGUAGUGGGGGAUAGCUCGGCGAAAGCCGGAUUAAUACCGCAUACGACCUGAGGGUGAAAGCGGGGGAUCUUCGGACCUCGCGCUAUUGGAGCGGCCGAUGGCAGAUUAGCUAGUUGGUGGGGUAAAGGCCUACCAAGGCGACGAUCUGUAGCUGGUCUGAGAGGACGACCAGCCACACUGGGACUGAGACACGGCCCAGACUCCUACGGGAGGCAGCAGUGGGGAAUUUUGGACAAUGGGCGAAAGCCUGAUCCAGCAAUGCCGCGUGUGUGAUGAAGGCCUUCGGGUUGUAAAGCACUUUUGGCGGGAACGAAAAGGACUGUGCCAAUACCACGGUUCGAUGACGGUACCCGCAGAAUAAGCACCGGCUAACUACGUG